rnacentral:rRNA from 1 species
AUGCUUAGAGAAAAGCAAGCAAAAAGAGUUCAUAAUGCACUACAAAAUGGUGAACUUGAAACUGGGAGAGGUUUGAAUCAAGAACUUGGACUUAAAAGAGCCGGUGAUACUCGUUGGGGUUCUCAUUUCAAUUCUCUACUGAAUAUGAUUGUUAUGUUCCCCUCCGUAAUUGAAGUUGUUGAUGAUAAUGCACAAAAUGACAGCAAAGCUCUAGAUAGGCUUAAAGCAAAAGGAGUUCUUGAUGCUAUUCAAACAUUUGACUUUGUUUUCAUGAUGCACUUGAUGAAGCAAGAUAUUGUGAAUGUUGUGUCAUAUCUUUGUACAACAAAAAGAAGGCUACAAGAAAUGAGAAACCAAGGUUGGGAAGGUAUGUUUACAAAGAUUACUCAUUUUUGCCUCGAACAUGAUAUUGAACUUCCAGAUAUGAAUGAUAUGCAUAUUCCUCGAGGAUCAAAAUCAAAGCGUAAAGCUCAGAUUGAUGGCAUAUCGAAUAAGGAUUACUACCAAAGUGUAAUGUAUGCUGUUAUCGAUCUAUUACGUGUAGAGCUUGAUGACCGCUUUAGUGAGAGCAGCACAACGUUGCUUCUUGGCAUGGCUUGUUUGGAUCCUUCUGAUUCGUUCUCU